GCGUCAAAGCGUACUUUCCCCAAAUUUUAGACGCCCACUCCCCCUCCCCCUGACAGCCCACUAAGCAACUCUAUUUAAUAAUAGAAGAACCAAUGCUAAAACUAGUAAUAAGAACCCCUUCUCCCUACACACCCCUCAAUCAGAAAUAGAUUAACUACUGAAAAUUAACAAACUACAAAAAGAAGUAAAACAAAACCAAGCCAAAAUUUUCCACAAUUUGUGACACCAACACAGGAGUGAAUUAAGGACAGAUUAAAAGCCCAACAAGGAAUUCAGCUAAUAGACUCCAACUGUUUACCAAAAACAUAGCCUUUAGCAAAACAAGUAUUAAAGGUUUCGCCUGCCCAGUGUUUUUCAACGGCCGCGGUAUCCUAACCGUGCAAAGGUAGCGUAAUCAUUUGUCUCCUAAAUAGAGACUCGUAUGAACGGCUAAAUGAGAGCCUAACUGUCUCCUAAGGCCAAUCAAUGAAACUGAUCUCCCAGUACAAAAGCUGGGAUAACCACAUAAGACGAGAAGACCCUGUGGAGCUUAAAAUACCCCCCUAUUUUUUCAACUAUAAACCACGGAAACAACCACAUAAAAGCAUAGGGAGUACUUUUUAGUUGGGGCGACUUUGGAAUACAAAAAAACUUCCAUGAAUAGGGCCUUCCCUAUCAAGGCCUACUAGCCUAAAUAAACAACUCUUGACCCAGACAUCUGAUCAAC
rnacentral:rRNA from 1 species